CCUACGGGGGGCAGCAGUGAGGAAUAUUGGUCAAUGGACGAGAGUCUGAACCAGCCAAGUCGCGUGAAGGAUGACUGCCCUCUGGGUUGUAAACUUCUUUUAUAAAGGAAUAAAACGAGGCACGUGUGCCUGUUUGAAUGUACUUUAUGAAUAAGGAUCGGCUAACUCCGUGCCAGCAGCCGCGGUAAUACGGAGGAUCCGAGCGUUAUCCGGAUUUAUUGGGUUUAAAGGGAGCGUAGAUGGGUUGUUAAGUCAGUUGUGAAAGUUUGCGGCUCAACCGUAAAACUGCCAUUGAAACUGGCAGUCUUGAGUACGGUAGAGGUAAGCGGAAUUCGUGGUGUAGCGGUGAAAUGCUUAGAUAUCACGAAGAACCCCGAUUGCGAAGGCAGCUUACUGGACUGUGACUGACGUUGAUGCUCGAAAGUGUGGGUAUCAAACAGGAUUAGAUACCCGUGUAGUC
rnacentral:rRNA from 1 species